rnacentral:rRNA from 1 species
UNUGACUUGAGUGCAGAAGGGGNGAGUGGAAUUCCAUGUGUAGCGGUGAAAUGCGUAGAUAUAUGGAGGAACACCAGUGGCGAAAGCGGCUCUCUGGUCUGUCACUGACGCUGAGGCUCGAAAGCGUGGGUAGCGAACAGGAUUAGAUACCCUGGUAGUCCACGCCGUAAACGAUGAGUGCUAGGUGUUAGGCCCUUUCCGGGGCUUAGUGCCGGAGCUAACGCAAUAAGCACUCCGCCUGGGGAGUACGACCGCAAGGUUGAAACUCAAAGGAAUUGACGGGGGCCCGCACAAGCGGUGGAGCAUGUGGUUUAAUUCGAAGCAACGCGAAGAACCUUACCAGGUCUUGACAUCCCGAUGCUAUUCUUAGAGAUAGGAAGUUACUUCGGUACAUCGGAGACAGGUGGUGCAUGGUUGUCGUCAGCUCGUGUCGUGAGAUGUUGGGUUAAGUCCCGCAACGAGCGCAACCCUUAUUGUUAGUUGCCAUCAUUAAGUUGGGCACUCUAGCGAGACUGCCGGUAAUAAACCGGAGGAAGGUGGGGAUGACGUCAAAUCAUCAUGCCCCUUAUGACCUGGGCUACACACGUGCUACAAUGGUCGGUACAACGAGUUGCGAGCCGGUGACGGCAAGCUAAUCUCUGAAAGCCGAUCUCAGUUCGGAUUGGAGGCUGCAACUCGCCUCCAUGAAGUCGGAAUCGCUAGUAAUCGCGGAUCAGCACGCCGCGGUGAAUACGUUCCCGGGCCUUGUACACACCGCCCGUCACACCACGAGAGUUUGUAACACCCGAAGUCGGUGAGGUAACCUUUUAGGG